GAUGAACGCUGGCGGCGUGCCUAAUACAUGCAAGUCGAGCGAACGGACGAGAAGCUUGCUUCUCUGAUGUUAGCGGCGGACGGGUGAGUAACACGUGGAUAACCUACCUAUAAGACUGGGAUAACUUCGGGAAACCGGAGCUAAUACCGGAUAAUAUUUUGAACCGCAUGGUUCAAAAGUGAAAGACGGUUUUGCUGUCACUUAUAGAUGGAUCCGCGCUGCAUUAGCUAGUUGGUAAGGUAACGGCUUACCAAGGCAACGAUGCAUAGCCGACCUGAGAGGGUGAUCGGCCACACUGGAACUGAGACACGGUCCAGACUCCUACGGGAGGCAGCAGUAGGGAAUCUUCCGCAAUGGGCGAAAGCCUGACGGAGCAACGCCGCGUGAGUGAUGAAGGUCUUCGGAUCGUAAAACUCUGUUAUUAGGGAAGAACAUAUGUGUAGGUAACUGUGCACAUCUUGACGGUACCUAAUCAGAAAGCCACGGCUAACUACGUG
rnacentral:rRNA from 1 species